GCUUCCAUCAUUGCCGCUGCUGCUGUCACCACUACUACCACUGCAGGGUUGCCUAGAAGCCGAUGAUCACUGUAAAGUUCCCCAAUGAAUUAAGUUUGGGCCAGGAGAUACUAAAGGAUACAAAAAUGGCAGACUCACUGCUGUUCUGGAGGUCUGUGCUAAACACACAUGGAAGAAUCUAUGCCAGGUACUCUGCCACCAUGGCAAAGCAUCCGAACAUGAAGAAGAUGGGUUUGAAUACCUGAAGAAUGUUGGGAGCUAAGUCAGUAUUGGUCCACAUCUGAAGACUGACAAAUCAUUUCAAGCAAAAAGAAGUAUGUAAUGUAGAAUGACAUCAUAUUUUAUGACUCUUUUAUCAUUAUGCUUUCUCUCAGGGAACUUCUUUAGAAAAACCGUUUCCCCAGAGUAAGUAUAUUUCCAUCAAACAGAACCCACUGAAACAUGAUGAGGACAAAGGCUACACCUCAAUUUAAUAAAGAUGCCUAAAUAUACAAGUCAGACCUGGAUAUUACUUAUGAAGCUGCAUAUAUAUUAAAACA
rnacentral:lncRNA from 1 species